CCGCGUGGCCGCGCACGGAACUGCGGGCCACCCGGCGCCGGGCCCGCUGAGCAGAGCGCAUGGCUCGGUGCUCCAAAGCUCUCGGUUCAGCACAGCGCUGGCACACGAGUUGAGAGAAGAAAUAGCCAAGCGUAAGAGAGGAGUCUAACAGCCACUAGGUUGAAUAUCAGGAAGCCGAGGCACAGUGGAGGAAAGGAAACCCAUUUGCCCAAGAAGACACAUCUGUACGUGGAAGAACCUCACCUGAAGCAGGGCAGCCAGCCCUCCUCCACGGCGCCUCCACUCAGGGGCUUUGGAUGGGACAGAUGUGGACAUGUACCCCGGCUCCAACCUUCUCCAGCAAGUGGCCUCAGCAAACCUCUUCCCCUCUCUGGAUCCCAAUUCUUUCCAUUUCUAAGGUGGAGUGAAUGAACUGACCCACCGCACAGGGUGGUGGCAAAAAGAAAGCGCCCGUCCGUGGGAAAUGCACUCAGCAGAGAAUUGAUGCACUCGGCUCAUGACAUGAUGUCCCCGGUGGUUGCCUAAGCCGUGGUGAAGAGAGCAGAGCGCAGGCUCUCGGCGUUGCCUGUGUGCCCAACUUCUGGGGCAA